GCUUGGGUAGCUCAGUUGGUAGAGCACUUGCCCGCAAAAGGCAAAGGUCCCGAGUUCGAGUCUCGGUCUGUGCA
rnacentral:tRNA from 1 species